ACCUGUAGAACGGAAAAUACGCAAAAUAUUCAUUUCAUGAAACGUCGAACAGUCUUGUGAAUGAAUUAUGUAUACUUUUAAGUAAUCUACACCAGUAUUGCACCAGAAUUUAGAAGCGUAGCCAAGCAGAAUCGUAUUUUUUUGUUCCACAACAACAAUUUAUCUGUCCGCAUAUCCAUUUGUAUCAUCUUUUGGUAAAAAGUUUAAACUAGCUUUGUUUCAAAAACCUUCAUCCCGAGUAAAAAUGAUGAACAAAAUCUUGGUACUGACCCUGAUGUUAGCUGUUGCUUCAGUGAUAAUACUCAACGUAGAGGCUGGGUGCAAUCCGCCAGGUGAGUACCCUGCGAUUUGCAACGGGGAGGAUGUUUGUGGAAAUGAUUGCGAUUUGCCGUGUUUUCCCGGAGAAGAAUGCGUUGACUCAAUGUGCCAAGAAAUUCCGUGAGGAUGAUUCAUCACUACGUACAGCAAGAUAUCAUCGCAUUAUAAUUAUGUUGAUUAUUUUAUUAUCCUUAUGUAAUUCUACGUAGUUUGAUAAUAUAUAUUCA